CCUACGGGAGGCAGCAGUGGGGAAUUUUGCGCAAUGGGGGAAACCCUGACGCAGCAACGCCGCGUGAGUGAUGAAGGCCUUCGGGUCGUAAAGCUCUGUCAGAGGGAAAGAAAUGUGGGAUGUUAAUACCAUUUCCACUUGACGGUACCCUCAAAGGAAGCACCGGCUAACUCCGUGCCAGCAGCCGCGGUAAU
rnacentral:rRNA from 1 species